CAGUGUGGUAUUGUUAGUGGAUGGUCCAGCCAGGUCACCAGUGUGGUAUUGUUAGUGGAUGGUCCAGCCAGGUCACCAGUGUGGUAUUGUUAGUGGAUGGUCCAGCCAGGUCACCAGUGUGGUAUUGUUAGUGGAUGGCCCAGCCAGGUCACCAGUGUGGUAUUGUUAGUGGAUGGUAGAGCCAGGUCACCAGUGUUGUAUUGUUAGUGGAUGGUAGAGCCAGGUCACCAGUGUUGUAUUGUUAGUGGAUGGUAGAGCCAGGUCACCAGUGUUGUAUUGUUAGUGGAUGGUAGAGCCAGGUCACCAGUGUUGUAUUGUUAGUGGAUGGUAGAGCCAGGUCACCAGUGUUGUAUUGUUAGUGGAUGGUACAGCCGGGUCAUCAAUGUGAACGGGUGGGUGGUGGUUGGAGUGUGAAGCAUGCCACCUGGCUUUCAUCACUCUGCCCAAGCAUCAU